UGCCAGCCGCCGCGGUAAUACGAAGGGACCUAGCGUAGUUCGGAAUUACUGGGCGUAAAGAGUCCGUAGACUGUACUGUAAGUUAUUUGUUAAAUCCUAAAGCCCAACUUUAGAACAGCAUUUAAUACUACUUUACUUGAGUUUUGUUCGGAAGAGUAGAAUUCCACGUUUAGGGAUAAUCCCCGUAGAUAUGUGGAGGAACACCAUUAGCGAAGGCGACUCUUUGGUAAAAACUGACGUUGAGGGACGAAAGUGUAGGGAGCAAACAGGAUUAGAUA
rnacentral:rRNA from 1 species